rnacentral:rRNA from 1 species
UAACGACUCUCGGCAACGGAUAUCUCGGCUCUCGCAUCGAUGAAGAACGUAGCGAAAUGCGAUACUUGGUGUGAAUUGCAGAAUCCCGUGAACCAUCGAGUCUUUGAACGCAAGUUGCGCCCCAAGCCUUCUGGCCGAGGGCACGUCUGCCUGGGUGUCACA